rnacentral:misc_RNA from 1 species
UGGCUCUCGCAUCGAUGAAGAACGCAGCGGAAUGCGAUAAGUAAUGUGAAUUGCAGAAUUCAGUGAAUCAUCGAAUCUUUGAACGCACCUUGCGCCUCUUGGUAUUCCGAGAGGCAUGCCUGUUUGAGUGUCAUUAAAUUCUCAACUUCAAAAGCUUUGUCUUUUUGAAGCUUGGAUGUGAAGGCUUGCUGGCGUCUUAGACUUCAGCUCCUUUGAAAUGCAUUAGUGGACCCGUUUGUGUUCAUCCUUAGUGUGAUAAUUAUCUACGCUAUGGUUUUGGAUGCAUGCUCAUUAGAAUCUUUUCAAGCUGUUCUACAGUCUUGGUGUGGAGAGUUGCAUGUACUUGCUCUUUCUGUCUUUUGAGUCAGGAUUGUCUGCUUCUAACCGUCUGCAUCUGUGGACAACUUGAACCAUUUGACCUCAAAUCAGGUAGGACUACCCGCUGA